rnacentral:rRNA from 1 species
AUCUAUGGCCAUGCUAACCUGAACACACCCGAUUCUGUCUGAUCUCGGAAGCUAAGCAGGGUCGGGCCUGGUUAGCACUUGCAUGGGAGACCACUUAGGAAGACCAGGUGCUGUAGGUG